UCGGGAAUUUUGGGCAAUGGGGGCAACCCUGAUCCAGCGAUGCCGCGUGUGUGAAGAAGGCCUGCGGGUUGUAAAGCACUUUAGUUGGGGAGGAAAGGUAUGUACUGCAUAAGUGCAUGCUGUGACGUUACCCAAAGAAUAAGCACCGGCAAACUCUGUGCCAGCAGCCGCGGUAAUACAGAGGGUGCAAGCGUUAAUCGGACUUACUGGGCGUAAAGGGUGCGUAGGCGGAAGGAUAAGUUAGUUGUGAAAGGCCUGGGCUUAACCUAGGAACUGCAUUUGUGACUGCAAGGCUAGAGUACGGUAGAGGGGGAUGGAAUUCCGCGUGUAGCAGUGAAAUGCGUAGAUAUGCGGAGGAACACCGAUGGCGAAGGCAAUCCCCUGGACCUGUACUGACGCUCAUGCACGAAAGCGUGGGGAGCAAACAGGAUUAGAUACCCGAGUAGUCCCUGAGCGGGCUGGCAAGGCGCAU
rnacentral:rRNA from 1 species